GAUGAACGCUGGCGGCGUGCCUAAUACAUGCAAGUCGAGCGAACAGAUGAGGAGCUUGCUCCUCUGACGUUAGCGGCGGACGGGUGAGUAACACGUGGAUAACCUACCUAUAAGACUGGGAUAACUUCGGGAAACCGGAGCUAAUACCGGAUAAUAUAUUGAACCGCAUGGUUCAAUAGUGAAAGACGGUUUUGCUGUCACUUAUAGAUGGAUCCGCGCCGCAUUAGCUAGUUGGUAAGGUAACGGCUUACCAAGGCAACGAUGCGUAGCCGACCUGAGAGGGGGAUCGGCCACACUGGAACUGAGACACGGUCCAGACUCCUACGGGAGGCAGCAGUAGGGAAUCUUCCGCAAUGGGCGAAAGCCUGACGGAGCAACGCCGCGUGGGUGAUGAAGGUCUUCGGAUCGUAAAACUCUGUUAUUAGGGAAGAACAAAUGUGUAAGUAACUAUGCACGUCUUGACGGUACCUAAUCAGAAAGCCACGGCUAACUACGUG
rnacentral:rRNA from 1 species